UAAGCAUAUCAAUAAGCGCAGGAAAAGAAACCAACAGGGAUUGCCUCAGUAACGGCGAGUGAAGCGGCAACAGCUCAAAUUUAAAAUCUGGCCUCUUGGGGUCCGAGUUGUAAUUUGUAGAGGAUGUUUUGGGUACCGCCCCGGUUUAAAUUUCUUGGAACAGAAUGUCAUAGAGGGUGAGAAUCCCGUCUUGGACCGGCGGUAGGGCCUGUGUAAAACUCCUUCGACGAGUCGAGUUGUUUGGGAAUGCAGCUCAAAAUGGGUGGUAAAUUUCAUCUAAAGCUAAAUAUUGGCCAGAGACCGAUAGCGCACAAGUAGAGUGAUCGAAAGAUGAAAAGCACUUUGAAAAGAGAGUUAAACAGUAUGUGAAAUUGUUGAAAGGGAAGCGCUUGCAACCAGACUUGAGCGCGGCGGUUCCCCCAGCCUUUUGGCUGGGUUACUCCGUCGUGUCCAGGCCAACAUCGGUUCUGGGGGUCGGUCAAAGGCCUUGGGAAUGUAUCUACUUACGGGUAGACUUAUAGACCAGGGUGUCAUGCGGCCUCCCGGGACCGAGGAACGCGCUUCGGCUCGGAUGUUGGCGUAAUGGUUGUCAGCGACCCGUCUUGAAACACGGACCAAGGAGUCUAACAUCUAUGCGAGUGUUUGGGUGUCAAACCCGGAACGCGGAAUGAAAGUGAACGGAGGUAGGAAGCUUCGGCUGCACUAUCGACCGAUCCUGAAGUUUACGGAUGGAUUUGAGUAAGAGCAUAGCUGUUGGGACCCGAAAGAUGGUGAACUAUGCCUGAAUAGGGUGAAGCCAGAGGAAACUCUGGUGGAGGCUCGCAGCGGUUCUGACGUGCAAAUCGAUCGUCAAAUUUGGGUAUAGGGGCGAAAGACUAAUCGAACCAUCUGGUAGCUGGUUCCUGCCGA
rnacentral:rRNA from 1 species